GGUGAUAUAGCUCAGUUGGUUAGAGCACAGCACUCAUAAUGCUGGGGUCGGUGGUUCAAGCCCACCUAUCACCA
rnacentral:tRNA from 1 species